UACGUAGGGUGCAAGCGUUGUCCGGAAUUAUUGGGCGUAAAGAGCUCGUAGGCGGUCUGUUGCGUCGGCUGUGAAAACCCGGGGCUCAACCCCGGGCCUGCAGCCGAUACGGGCAGACUAGAGUUCGGCAGGGGAGACUGGAAUUCCUGGUGUAGCGGUGAAAUGCGCAGAUAUCAGGAGGAACACCGGUGGCGAAGGCGGGUCUCUGGGCCUUACCUGACGCUGAGGAGCGAAAGCGUGGGGAGCGAACAGG
rnacentral:rRNA from 1 species